rnacentral:sRNA from 1 species
GUGAAAUGAAACUUUUGGCAUUUAAUCCAUUAUAUAUAGAGUUAAUUUGUAAACUAGUCAUUUGUUUAAACUUAAUUGGAAAAAUAGUCACUUUAUUAUUUAUAAUUUGUAAAAUAGUCACUUUUCACUGUUUGAUUCGUACAUUUAGAUUGUACACCACUUUUAGUGUACAAAUAUAUAUAAAAAUAUACAGCGUACACUUUACAUUUGUACACUAAAAGUGAUGUACAAUCUAAGUGUACGAAUCAAACAGCAAAAAAUGACUAUUUUACAAAUUAUGAAUAGUAAAAUGACUACUUUCCUAAUUAAGUAUGAAAAAGUGACUAUUUUGCCAACACACCCUUAUAUAUAACCCAUGCAAGUUUGGGUGGGUAAUACGUACGAAUACUUUUUCAGUUUUUCUCGUUUUUUUGUUUUUUUGGCCGAUCGUUGUUUGUUUAUUUCUAAAU